GCCCUGUCUUGGGAAGAGAAUGAGCAGUGUUCAGUGUGUCCACAGUGUCCAGAUUCACACACAUAUAAGCACAUGCAUUCAAACUGGUACGGGCACCCUCCCUCUCUCUGACACACACACACCACUCUGAGAGUGGCCAUUGUACUGGCACUGCCAUCCUUGGACAUCUCUCCCCCUCCCCUCAAACACAAACACACACACACACAGAAUGACAUGUCCAGUCAGACAUUGUUACAACCACAACACACACAGCUGUGUGGGACAGUGUCAGUCAACCCUCAUUGCCUUGAUACCUACCAGGAGUUAUGGAAACAACCUCUCAUCUGCAACUAUAUGUGAGUCUGGAGAACCUGGAGAUGGAGAAGGUUCUGGGAGCGGCACUGGGCGUCCGGCGAGUGGGGAGGAACCCCAUCACUCAGGAGGGCUCCUUGUCUUCCCUCACGGAAGAGGAGGCAGGGUCCGACCCGCAGCACUACUCCGUAUUGGAGGAACAGUCCAACCAGCUGCAGGGCUGCAGUGCGUCGGCCCCAACCCUCAGUGUGGUGCGUCGCAGCAACCCUCCCAGCACGGCCCCCCGACCACGCUCCAACUGCUACGGUAAGCCUAUGCUACAUGCCUGGAUCGUGUUUAUUACGCACCAAACAAAGAAAAUGGACUGAAACGGGGAGGGACUACCUGGAACUGUCCAAUAAGAAACACAGAUUUUUGUUUCCUGUUCCAAAAUGUUUUCUGUUGUGUGCCUUAAUGAACACAACCUGGGGUCAGACAAGUUCAAAUGGUUGAAGGUGUCACAUAGGCUGCCUGUGAUCCUAUUCUGUAUCCCUACACCCUAAAGCGUACCCUCGUUUCUCCCAGAUUUCUUACACCCGUCCAUUCCUUUUAAAUUCAGCACAUAAUGAGGAGACUUAGUGGAGAAGGGUAGAGAACUGGACUGCAGCCAAGGAAUGUUACUUGAAGUUCUAAAGUAGAUGGUUUAACUGUUUGCUGGGCAGAAUGUAUCCUUGUAGCCAUCUCUAGAUGUUAGUAAGUCGAUAAACUCUUUACUCUUCCCAAACACUGCUCUGACUGCAAAGUGUCUUUCUUGCCUUUUUUAUGCGAUCUGUAUCGUAUCUAGACACACGCACACUUUGUCAGUCUUUGUUUUGCUCUGAAUCGGGCUCAAGUUGGACAGUACGUCAGUGUCAGUCAAUAGCUGUGUGUGCGUGCAUGCGUUUGAUAGACGGAGUGAAAGUACAUGUGUUUGUGUGUAAAUGCCCUGUCUCAUUGUGCCUUCUUGUUUUGUUUACAAUGGUUGGAUCAUUUUUGUACAUAUUUAUGUGGGUGUAUUUAAUGAUCAUAAUUGGGUUUUGUAAUUUGCACUAAAUGCAUGCUUGUUUUUGUUUGUCAAUGAUUAUCAGUUUCUGCAUGUAUGUUUGUCUGGUUUUCACUGUUUAUGUGUACAGUAUGUUUCUCAGUUGGUGUGUGUCUUUUUGUUUUUCAGUGCAUGUGUAUGCUUCAGUCUUUAUUUCUUAAGGGUUUGUGUUUGUCAAUGUGUCAGUGUUUCUAUGAGGGUUUGUGUGUGUGUGUGCCUCCAUCUCUGUGUGUGUGCCUCCAUCUCUGUGUGUGUGCCUCCAUCUCUGUGUGUAUGUGCAGCAAUGCGGAAGCGCUCUUCCUGUGUUUGUUCUGUCUGGGCUCUGGUCCUGUUAUCCCCAGUACCAGCUUCAUAGCAGAGCCUCCAUUUCUACUGCUACCUCUCCCAUCUCUCCUCUCUCGCUCUCUACUAGUCUCCUCCACUUCAAUUCCUCCAUUUUGACACACUGCUUGGAUGACCAACUGUUUUACUGUAAUUUCUUCUAUCAUUCUCUCCCUAUCCUUCUCGUCUAAUCCGUGUUAUCAAACUCAGUAGCCUAUAGGCUACUAUCUGUGUCUCUUUCACUCUCAUAAUAACUUACUAUUUGCGCUUGGCUAGUUUAUUCUUGGUUAUAAAUAGCAGUGAAGCCCUUGAAUGAGCAUCAGGUGAAUGGGACAUUUACCUACUUUUUUAUUUUAUUUUUAAAAAUCUUUUUAUUUCUGCCUUGUUCUUGGCAUAGCUGUUAUUGAGUUGUAAGCUGUGGAGAGUGUUUAGAAAGGUGUCAGUGUGAGUGUCUUCUGAUCUGUGUGUUCCAGAGACUUUACCCUACGGUCAACUUGGAGGAUCCACGCAGAGGUGAGUUGCCUUUCUCCCCGUUUUUCCUUUCAUGCAAAGGAGGUCGCCAUUUUGGAUCUGUUUCCUUUAGCAAACAGCCAUAACCAUGCUAGACCUGUUUGUCUCUCGUACCGCAGUCUCAAUUCUGGCUGUGGUUCCUGUUAUCAUGGAAGUCAUGGUGCAUUUUAUAGUUGCAUGUCCCAUGUUGUUAUUAAAUGACCGUUCACAUUCAAUGCUAAAAGCGGCCUGCAGUGAUAAUAUGCAAUCUGGCACUCCUUUCUUUCUCUACCUCUCUAUUUUUCUCACUUCCUCUCUUCUCUUUUAUCAUUCCCUUUACUAUCCUGCUCCUUCCUCUAAUCAUCUAUCUAAAUCUUUCAUGUCUUCUGUUCCUCUUUCCUCUCUGUAAUUCUUCCCUUUCUUGUCAUCCUCGUGUCCUCUCAAACUUUCAUGUCGUCUCUCUCUUUUCUUUGUCAAACUUUCCUGUCCUUUUCCCUCUUCUCUUUAAUGUUCUCCUCUCCCUCAGUGUGGAUAGGGACCUGGGUCUUCUGCUCUGGGGGAGAGAGGGAAGCUGGACGGAGAUCACGAGAGACCGGGCCCAGGAGGAGGUGACAGGCGGCCCUUUUGUGCGCACCUUCAGUUUCCUACGCAAGAUGGCCGGCAACCGCAAGGUAGGAGAGGCCUGCUUUCUGCAGUAGAGUAAAUCAUAUUUUAUUGACAGCGACGGGUAUGAAUGAAGGGCAGACUGAUAGAGGAGAAACGGUGUAGAAGAUUAGGAUUUCAUCCCUCGAAGACAUGGGAUUGCAUGUGCCAAAUGCGGUGGCCUUAACCGACCGACCAACCCACAGCACACGAGAUCUACGACUCAUUAUUUAUCUAAGGUCUCUUCUCAAUAGGGUAAUAUCAUUAUGACAACGACACUGUGUGGUGUUGCUGAUCAUAUUGAAUGGCGACCAGAAAGAUUUUACCUUUUGAACAAGGUGUGUUGACUCAUGACUGAAAUGGAAUGGAGAGUAAUAAACGUGUCAAAGGUCUGCAUAUAUUUUAGUUUUUUGCCUUUAGUCAAUAGCUAGUGAUAACAGAAUCAUUUUGUCUCCUAACUAGCCAUAAGUUGUCAUAACUCUCCUGUGACGAUCUGAAGGAUCAGGUUACAGUGGGUCCGCUCUACAGCGUGCUCGUUCUCGUAGAGGGGGAGAGUGGGAAGUCGGCUGUUUUAUGGCGGUCAUAAAACAUGCUGCAUCUAUGCUCUGUAGUGUGUGAGUUUGGAAUGCAAACUGUGGAACACAGAGACAUCCUUGGACAUCAAAAGUUUUGAAUAAUUAAACAAUAUUUAUAUUUUUGAGAAUGUGAGAGUGGUCUGUGGACACUUAAGGGACAGUCAUGAUGAGUGUGUUUCAUUUGGUGAUCUCAUGAAGGACAGGAAACAGUCAUUACUGUGUCUUUGGUUGUGUACACUUAAUUAUGGGGUUUACAUCUAAAUAUUGUGAAACGUAUAUGAUUAAACGUGGAACUAUUUGUGAAAAGAUGUAAUGUGAUGUUAACCUUCUAAAUGAGAAAAUAUGGGUUUUCAUAUAAAGUUAACCAAGUCAGUGGCCACUGCCAAGUGAGCAUAGACAUCACGUCGGCGUCAUGGACUGCACUUUUCUCAGUGAGUAUAAAACCCACUCCUUGCGAAAUGUACAUUAGACUAGAAAACAUGGAGCUGACGCUACAUGUUGAAAUGGUUAAGAACUACAACUCUAUAGGCCCAGGAGACCAGACAGCGUGUAGUGUUGGCUACACGGCUGGAAAUGGUUCAACUCUAAGACUAUCGAUCACUACAGAAUAAGAGCAAAUCCUAGACAUAGAAUUACUAGUCGUCUGCAGCUGGAAAUUACGUAAAUCUAGUACGAGAAUACCGACAACCGCAGAAGCAACUAUUCUAUGCAACAACCAUCUAUCUGUAUGCCUGACGGAUCCAUUACGACAGACACUAUCCAGAGCCGCUGAGAAAGCCACAACCACGAAAGACAUUGUGACUUCUGGGGAUGUUAACCAGAGACUCUCUGAUGAGCUGACUCUCCAGCAGACAGACCGGCGAUUCCAACAGAGAAGACAACAACGACAUAAGGGCGUAAAUAAAUACAUUGCAAUUAUUUUUGAAGGAGCGGCCAUUCAUGUGCAAAGGAUUAGCAUUUCAAUUAAUAUAAUUGUCAACUGUGUGUAGUGAAUCCAUUUUGUCUUUCCCGCUCUUUAUCCGUCCCCACUCCUUUCCAUUGUCUACCAAGCCGUCAUAGCGGUUUAGCCCACUAGGGACUUAUCGAUGCAUUGUGUUAGUAACCAAUUACUGUAUUGUUUGUUUAUGUAUUUCUGUGAUUUUAGUUAGUUAGUAAAUAAAUAAUUUUGCCAAUUUGUAUAUCGCUGAUUCAUUAUGGAGAGUACGGUUCCUGUGUCAAGAGUCAGUGUGCAGCAGGUGGGACGGAGUCAGGCGCAGGACACCGAGAAUGAGUAAUAAAGGUCUUUACUCAACAAAACAACAAAAUAUUCCACGUAGGGAAACAAACAGCUCACAAACAGCUCACAAACAUACGCAACAGCUUAACACGGAACAAACAUGCACAAAACCAAUGGGGAAACCAGAGGGUUGAAUAGGGAACAAUAAUUAAGAAAUGGAAAACAGGUGUGUACAAUGAAGACAAAACAAAUGGAAAAAGAAAACGUGGAUUGGUGGCAACUAGAAAACCGGUAACGACGACCACCGAACGCCGCCCGAACAAGGAGAGGGACCAACUUCGGCGGAAGUCGUGACAGUACCCCCCCCCCUUGACGCGCGGCUCCAGCAGCGCGCCGACACUGGCCUCAGGGAUGACCCGGAGGACGAUCCGGGUGGAGACCGUGAAACUCCCGCAGUAACGAAGGAUCCAGAAUGUCCUCCACCGGCACCCAGCAUCUCUCCUCCGGACCAUACCCCUCCCACUCCACGAGGUACUGAAGGCCCCUCGCCCGACGCCUUGAGUCCAUGAUGGCUCGAACAGCAUACGCCGGGACCCCUCGGUGUCCAGAGGGGGCGGAGGAACCUCCCGUACCUCAGAUCCCUGGAGCGGACCAGCCACCACCGGCCUGAGGAGAGACACAUGGAACAAGGGGUUAAUGCGGUAAUCGGGGG
rnacentral:lncRNA from 8 species